rnacentral:rRNA from 1 species
UACAGAGGGGGCAAGCGUUAUUCGGAAUUACUGGGCGUAAAGCGUGCGCAGGCGGUUCGUUGUGUCGGUGGUGAAAGCCCCGGGCUUAACCUGGGAAUGGCCAUGGAAACUGGCGAACUGGAGUGUGGCAGAGGGGGGUGGAAUUCCGCGUGUAGCAGUGAAAUGCGUAGAGAUGCGGAGGAACACCGAUGGCGAAGGCAGCCCCCUGGGCUAGCACUGACGCUCAGGCACGAAAGCGUGGGGAGCAAACAGG